CCUACGGGAGGCAGCAGUGAGGAAUAUUGCUCAAUGGACGAGAGUCUGAACCAGCCACGUAGCGUGAAGGAUGACUGUCCUCUGGGUUGUAAACUCCUUUUAUAAAGGAGUAAAUCGAGGCACGUAAGCCUUUUUGCAUUUACUUUACGUAUACAGAUCGGCUAACUCCGCGCCAGCAGCAGCGGUAAUACGGAGGAGCCGAGCGUUACCCGGAAUUAUUGGGUUUAAAGGGAGCGUAGAUGGGUUGUUAAGUCAGUUGUGAAAGUUUGCGGCUCAACCGUAAAACUGCAAUUGAUACUGGCAAUCUUGAGUAUGGUAGAGGUAGGUGGAAUUCGAGGUGUAGGGGUGAAAUGCUUAGAUAUCACGAAGAACACCAAUUGCGAAGGCGACUUUCUAGACUGUGACUGACAUUGAUGAGCGAAAGCGUGGGUAUCAAACAGGAUUAGAUACCCUGGUAGUC
rnacentral:rRNA from 1 species